rnacentral:rRNA from 1 species
ACGGGUGCGUAACACGUGGGUAACCUGCCCUUUGGUGGGGAAUAACCUCGCGAAAGCGAGGCUAAUUCCGCAUAAGAUCCGCAAGGAUGAAAGCCGCUAGGCGCCGAAGGAGGGGCCCGCGCCCGAUUAGUUACUUGGUAGGGUAACGGCCUACCAAGACUAUGAUCGUU